rnacentral:lncRNA from 1 species
GAAGAUCAAAUUGUGGAGGGGAGGGUCGUGGAGCAUACUACUUUAGGAGAGGAGGAGGAAGAAGAUGAAGACGAGGAGGGGGAAGUUAAAGAGAAUAAGAUAAGAUGGAUUGUUAACAAAGGAUUGGGGUUGGGGAAGAAAUUUAUGAUUACAGGUUUUGUAAUCUCUUCCACGCCUGUGGUUCUUCCUCCACUUAUUGUUAUUUCAGCACUCGGGUUCGCAGUUUCGGUACCUUUUGGUCUUGCUUUUGCUGGUUAUACUUGUACUGAGAAGCUUAUGAACACGUUGCUUCCAAGGUCAGAUCCACCUUCAUUGUUGGAGUACGGGGAAUUGUAUGGAGAUGUAGUGGAACAUGAUGAACAAGGAGGAGGGGGGGAAGGUCCUGGUUUUGUUGGAGAAGUGUUGAUGGAAGAGGAGGAAAUGAAGGAAAUGGAGGAUGCAAAAGAAGGGGUUGAAAUGAGGAUUGAGUUGGUGAUAGAGGAGAGCGGUGGUUACGAGGGAGAACCUACUCUAGUUGAAGAUGAUAAAGUCUUCGAAAUAGCAGAGGAAGAAAGAGAGAUCAAUGUAGAUGAGGGUGGUAGAGAGGAAGGAUAUGAAGAAGAUGCUGGUGUAUACUUGGAAGGAGAGAAUGAGGGACCAAUUAGGGAGAAGAUAUUGGAAAUCGAGCAAGGGGGAGAUGCAGAAAAUUGGGAAGUUGAUGAAAAAAAUAAGGGAAGGGAGGAUUUGGAUUUGAUGGCCACAGAAUCCAGGGGAGAAAAUGAGGGUGAAAAAAAUGUUACUUUACCACCAAGUCUGCCAGAGGGGAAUUUGGUUGAAGUAUAUGUAGGAGAUGCAGUGAAGGAAGAUAGCCACACCUUAGAGAGUUCAGGUGGA